rnacentral:misc_RNA from 1 species
UGACCAUUCAUUGCCUGUUUCCAGAAAGUUACACACACUUUAAAAUAAGUAAAUUAAGCCACAGUGCUCACACAAUGUACUAGGAUUUGCAAAGGUAUUGACUAUCUGACCAUUUCAGUCAGUACACUAAAGAUAUUUUAGACCUAACAAAGUCUUUCAAUUUCCCCAAAUUUAAUAUUGAAUUUAAUGGUGAUAUCUCCACAAGCCAAACAUAAUCAAAAAAAAUUUAUGGAGGUUUGUUUUAGUUCAGUCCAUAAGGAGAAAAGAAUAGAAGAGGAAACAA